GCUGGCUGCCCCCUAAUUUCAAGUGGUCAGUCCCUAAAUUGACGUCAGAAACCAGGGUGGCGGCAUUUUUGAGAGCUGCGAUACCAUAACAUUCGAUGGUCGGAAUUGUUUUAAAUCAGACAUUUUGGACACUUGAGAUAGCUGUGUACUGUGUGGGCGACGGUUCAACUGAAAGAUGCACAUACCCAAGCAUGAGAGGCCAAGCAUGAGGGGGCAGGCCUAGUGACGUGAGUGGUGGCAAUUUAAAGGAGAGGUACCAAGUGACUUUCUGUUCGGGAGAUUUGUGUCCAAAAAAUUGCAGAAGCUGAAGGGGCUCAUCAAGAAGGGAAACUUCAUCGCAAAUGUAAGAGAACCUUGAUGUCACAGGAUGGAAACCUUGAUGUCACAGCAGAAAAGGGAUUUCAAGGGGGCAGCAAGGCAAUUAUUUAAAAAAAAUACAGGACUUAAAAAAUCAGUAGACUUUCCCAAAAUAUUGACUCAGGACCAUUCAGACAGAGCCCCAGCAUAUAGAACUGUCAUUUCCGAAUGCAGCAGACACUGUAGAGGAUGGUGACCCUCUGCGCCGUAAAAAUGAUUAAGGGGACAAGUGGCAAUAACAGGCAAUUUACAUUAUACUGUACAAGAAACCAAACCGCUAAACACAGGUAUACUACAUGUAGACCUGAUGUAAGAAAGUUGAAAACCUGUCAGUUGGUAAAAUAUGUACCAUUAUCAUAUAGAUUGCAAUCUUUAUCAAUGUUAUUUUAGCCUAUCAAUGCUUUUGGUCAAUGAAUUGGCCUGAUGUUAUUUCUCUAUCGUCAACAAGUAAAAUUAGUUAAGCCCUGUACAUUUAAUCACUUAGAUGACAUCCUCAUCAAUUUUGUCCCUUUCCAAAAAAAGUCCCAGUUUAUGAGCUACAAGUAAGUGCCAUAAAAGGCAAAAAAAUAUACUGGAAAAUGAAUGCUAAAUGUAUUUAAUGUCAAAGUCAAUUCAUGUCAUCCAUGUAAUCAAAUCACCAUGGCUUUACUUUAAUGGUCUGUUGUGGACUAUCCACUGUCAGAUAUAGUUAACACUUUGAAUUUGUACUUUUAUGACUAAGUUAAGGUGCAGUACAUUUCACAUUGCUUUGUUCAGGACAACGUUGGUUGUCAAUGGUGAAGCAACUUUGCGAGGGUAAUUCUAUUUUUUUCUAUUUGGAAUCAACGUGUGUAAUAAAAGUGAUGGUUUUAAAGCAC